GCCUCCUACUGCACCCACACCACUCCCACCGGGGCACCCGGGUCCCUGCAGAGUCUCGGGGCUGCGCUGCCUUUGCUGCGGACCCCUGGAUCCUAAGCCUGCGGCGCUGGAGCUGAUGGGACUGAAUCACGGACGGACACGCAGAUUUCUUCACACCCUAAGCUCCGCUGCGGUUGUCCCCUGGAGGCCCGCGCCCGGGUCACUGAGAUGGCUUCGGGCGCCCGGCGAGGGAAAGGAAGCCACAGUGUGGCCCAAAACUAACAAGUUGUUGUACAGCUUACAACCAUCUACCACUCACCUGCUCAUCGGGACCUCAAGCAUCCUUGGCAGGUCUAAGCUCUGCCUUCGUUUUCUCAUGGUGUUUUUCUCCCUGUGUCUCUGUUUCCAGAUUUCCCUAUGCUGAGAAGGGAUAUCCUAACGAUCCCUUACUAACUUGAACAUGUCUCCAUAAGCACUGUUUCCAAGCCAGGACUCGUCCAUCAGCACAGUUAA
rnacentral:lncRNA from 1 species